GAUGAACGCUGGCGGCGUGCCUAAUACAUGCAAGUCGAGCGAACAGAUAAGGAGCUUGCUCCUUUGACGUUAGCGGCGGACAGGUGAGUAACACGUGGGUAACCUACCUAUAAGACUGGGAUAACUUCGGGAAACCGGAGCUAAUACCGGAUAACAUUUGGAACCGCAUGGUUCUAAAGUGAAAGAUGGUUUUGCUAUCACUUAUAGAUGGACCCGCGCCGUAUUAGCUAGUUGGUAAGGUAACGGCUUACCAAGGCAACGAUACGUAGCCGACCUGAGAGGGUGAUCGGCCACACUGGAACUGAGACACGGUCCAGACUCCUACGGGAGGCAGCAGUAGGGAAUCUUCCGCAAUGGGCGAAAGCCUGACGGAGCAACGCCGCGUGAGUGAUGAAGGGUUUCGGCUCGUAAAACUCUGUUAUUAGGGAAGAACAAAUGUGUAAGUAACUGUGCACGUCUUGACGGUACCUAAUCAGAAAGCCACGGCUAACUACGUG
rnacentral:rRNA from 1 species